rnacentral:rRNA from 1 species
GUGGGGGAUAUUGCACAAUGGAGGAAACUCUGAUGCAGCGACGCCGCGUGAGUGAAGAAGUAUUUCGGUAUGUAAAGCUCUAUCAGCAGGGAAGAUAAUGACAGUACCUGACUAAGAAGCCCCGGCUAACUACGUGCCAGCAGCCGCGGUAAUACGUAGGGGGCAAGCGUUAUCCGGAUUUACUGGGUGUAAAGGGAGCGUAGACGGAAUGGCAAGUCUGAAGUGAAAUCCUGCGGCUUAACUGCAGAAUUGCUUUGGAAACUGUCAAUCUGGAGUGUUGGAGAGGGAAGCGGAAUUCCUGGUGUAGCGGUGAAAUGCGUAGAUAUCAGGAAGAACACCGGAGGCGAAGGCGGCUUACUGGAUAAUAACUGACGUUGAGGCUCGAAAGCGUGGGAAGCAAACAGGAUUAGAUACCCCUGUAGUCC